GGCAUACUGAGGAGUCUUGGCCGAGGCUGCCGGAGACAUUUUGUUGAAGUGCUGAAGGUCUUCGUCAAAGCAACAGUACAGGAAUUAAAACCCAGGAGACUGAUUGCAGUGAAACUAUUCCCACAUAUGAAAGCCAACACACAUCUCCAAAGGAAGACGACCAACAACAGCUCCUUCAGAGCCUCACCAGCAUCUUCAGAGGUGUGCUUUAAGAAUGGCUUCAGGCUGAGCGCAGUGGCUUAUGGCUGUAAUCUUAGCACUUUGGGAAGCCGAGGCAGGAGGACUGCUUGAGCCCAGGAGUACGAGAUCAGCCUGGGCAACACAGUGAGACCCUACCUCUACAAAAAAAUAAAAAAUUAGCCAGGCAUGAUGGCAUGCACCUGUAGUCCCAGCUACUCAAGAGAAUGAGGUGGGAGGAUCACUUCAGCCCAGGAGGUCCAAGGCUGCAGUGAGCCAUGAUUGCGCCACUGCUCUCCAGACUGGGCAACAGAGGAAGACCCUGUCUCAAAAAAAAUAAAAAAAAGAAUGUCUCCCAAUUGCAUGCUUUCAUCAACUUGUGUGAAUAUACACUCAGACAAUACAGUAAUACAGAUGGAACCAAAUCACCUCUCUAAACCACCCUUCAUCCUUCCCCACUCUGCUAUUGCACUGCAUGGCUAACCGGUAAGCUCUGCUCUUUGGCUUCUGGCUGAGUUUGGCCAAAAGGCACCCUAGCAGGGAUCAGAGUAAGG
rnacentral:lncRNA from 10 species